CAAUAGACUACCCGGGUAGUCCACGCCGUAAACGAUGGAUACUAGCUGUUCGGGGCAACCUGAGUGGCUAAGCGAAAGUGAUAAGUAUCCCACCUGGGGAGUACGGGCGCAAGCCUGAAACUCAAAGGAAUUGACGGGGGCCCGCACAAGCGGUGGAGCAUGUGGUUUAAUUCGAUGAUACGCGAGGAACCUUACCAGGGCUUAAAUGUAGAUUGCAUUAGGUGGAGACACCUAUUUCUUCGGACCGUCUACAAGGUGCUGCAUGGUUGCCGUCAGCNUCGUGCCGUGAGGUGUCAGGUUAAGUCCUAUAACGAGCGCAACCCCUGUUGUUAGUUGCCAGCGAGUCAUGUCGGGAACUCUAGCAAGACUGCCAGUGCAAACUGUGAGGAAGGUGGGGAUGACGNUACAAAUCAUCACGGCCCUUACGUCCUGGGUNCUACACACGUGCUACAAUGGUAGGGACAGAGAGCAGCCACUGGGGCGACCAGGAGCGAAUCUAUAAACCCUAUCACAGGUUCG
rnacentral:rRNA from 1 species